GUGAAUUAUCAAAUAAAUUACAUUGUUGAAUAACACAAUUAUGACUAUCUGGUGUUUGCUUUAAUUUUAUUAUCUAUAUAAUUUUUAUUUCUAAAAAUAUUUUCUUUUGGGGUUCAAAACUCUUAAAUAUAGUUAUUACUUAUUAUCCAACUCUGAAUAUUUGAUUAUGAUUUUCCAAAUUAAACCCCCUUUCUUUCAAUUUGAAUUGAAACUCCUGAGUCCAAAACCCUUGCUCCCCCAAACCUUCUAUUCCAUACACGCACAGACUUUGAAUCUGAGUCUUAGCAAUGGAGGAGGAAGAGGUGACGUGCGUUUUAACGGUGCUAAAUGGAAAACUCUGUGCCUCAAGAGCUUGAACAAAAGAUCAAGAAGCUUCUCAACAAUGUCACACAUGCUGUAAUUUCAGUUACCUUUAGUCCUGAUGGUUGACAUUUGGCAAGUGGUUCAGAUAAUUAGAGUUGGAGACCUUAAUGAACUCCCAGACACCACUUUUCACAUGUACAGAUGGUAAGAAGCUUGUUAAUGGGAACAAUGCUGAAGAACUUCAAUGUUGGGAUCUUCAGAUGGGGAGGCCACCGGGCAAUCCACUUCUGUAUUUGUACUUGUGGUAAUCACACGGCCUGGGUUUCUCUUUAAGGCAACACGUUGAGGUAUUGAACCAAUAUGCAAUUGAGGCUUCUGUGGCAACAAAUUUUCCGGGCCACAUCCAUCAAAUUAUGAAGAGGAAAUGGGUGCAAUUUUUGCCAACCUGGAUGGGGAUAAAUUAAGAGUAUCUAAGUUCUUGGUAAGUUGCUAUUCUAUUAGUAUUUUUUUUAAAGUGCCCAACUGCUAUGGUCAUUCAUCUGUUGUUUUUUGCGGUUUUUUAUUUUUAUUUUUUAAUUUUUUUUAUUCAGUAGUCCUAA